rnacentral:rRNA from 1 species
UACAGAGGUCUCAAGCGUUGUUCGGAAUCACUGGGCGUAAAGGGUGCGUAGGCCGCACGGCAAGUCAGAGGUGAAAUCCCGGAGCUCAACUCCGGAAUUGCCUCCGAUACUGCCGUGCUCGAGGACUGGGGAGGAGUCUGGAAUUCACAGUGGAGCAGUGAAAUGCGUAGAUAUUGUGAGGAACACUAGUGGCGAAGGCGAGACUCUGGACAGUUCCUGACGCUGAGGCACGAAGGCCAGGGGAGCAAACGGG